GAUGAACGCUGGCGGCGUGCUUAACACAUGCAAGUCGAACGAAGCAUUUGCGACAGAUUUUUUCGGAAUGAAGUUGCUUAUGACUGAGUGGCGGACGGGUGAGUAACGCGUGGGUAACCUGCCUUUUACUGGGGGAUAGCAGCUGGAAACGGCUGGUAAUACCGCAUAAGCGCACAAUGUUGCAUGACAUGGUGUGAAAAACUCCGGUGGUAUAAGAUGGACCCGCGUCUGAUUAGCUAGUUGGUGAGAUAACAGCCCACCAAGGCGACGAUCAGUAGCCGACCGGAGAGGGUGACCGGCCACAUUGGGACUGAGACACGGCCCAGACUCCUACGGGAGGCAGCAGUGGGGAAUAGUGCACAAUGGAGGAAACGCUGAUGCAGCGACGACGCGUGAGUGAAGAAGUAAUUCGUUAUGUAAAGCUCUAUCAGCAGGGAAGAUAGUGACGGUACCUGACUAAGAAGCUCCGGCUAAAUACGUG
rnacentral:rRNA from 1 species